rnacentral:rRNA from 1 species
CGCAGCCGCGGUAAUUCCAGCUCCAAUAGCGUAUAUUAAAGUUGUUGCAGUUAAAAAGCUCGUAGUUGAAUUUCGGGGUCAGUAGGUCGGUCGUGCCACUGGUAUGAACUGGUUUCACUGAUUCCUCCCUCUUGUAGAACCGUGAUGCCAUUAAUUUGGUGUUGCGGGGAAACAGGACUGUUACUUUGAAAAAAUUAGAGUGUUUAAAGCAAGCUAACGCUUGAAUACAUUAGCAUGGAAUAAUGAAAUAGGACGUCUGUCUUAUUUUGUUGGUUUCUAGGAUGGACGUAAUGAUUAAUAGGGAUAGUUGGGGGCAUUAGUAUUCAAUUGUCAAAGGUGAAAUUCUUGGAUUUAUUGAAGACUAACUACUGCGAAAGCAUUUGCCAAGGAUGUUUUCAUUAAUCAAGAACGAAAGUUAGGGGAUCGAAGACGAUCAGAUACCGUCGUAGUCUUAACCAUAAACUAUGCCGACUAGGGAUCGGAUGAUGUUAAUUUUUUAAUGACUCAUUCGGCGCCUUAC